AAUUUAAGCGAAACCCAAACUCCUUGUUCUCCUCCACCUUACUCACUUGGGAAAAGAGUUUCAGACCCAUCAACCUGGAGGUUCAGAAGGCUUCAUUGAUAUCCAGCCUAUCUUUUGUACGGCCAAGUAGAGGAAGGAGCGGCCAUCUUCUCAACAACAUGGAUUUUCUCCCUUAAGACAGACAAGAUGAUGUAGCUCUGGAGCUGCUGCCAGUUCUCCUCCCUGCUCCACUUUAUGCAUUUGGGAGAAGAUUUUCAGAACCUGGAGGUUCAGAAGGUUUCAUUGAUAUCCAGCCUUUGGGACAAACCUGGUGGCUCAUCUACAAAAUGUGACAACAUGAAACCCGUAUGUCCUCAUGCAGGGAGACAGAAAAAAUGCUAAAGUGUCGUUAAAAUGUUCCUUGUUUAAUGUAGUUUUCUUUAAAACAGACUUUUUACAAGAAAUGUUGUCUAAUGUGUAGUAACAGAUUCUCCUGGAGUCGUAGCCAAAUGAGUUCAAGUGAUUUAACUAUAUACUUUUGAAACAACUUAUGUUUUGUAACUUUUGUAAGUGAAAUCUGCUGACUCUAUAUAUCACAUGGACAUAAAAUAAGUUUUAAAUUCA